CAGUGGAGGUGAUGUGUUUAUUUGGGCUGGGAUGCUGCAGUGAGAAGCUGUGAGAGGUAACUAUCUCCUUGUUGUGCUGUACAGAGUACCAGAGAAUCCACCCUGCAGAGACAGAGCCCUUUGAUAUGUGACCACUUCAAACCCACACAUACAAUGGAAGCAGUCAGUUGUGGAAAUAGCCCAAGUUGAUGUUGUGUGGGCAAGGUGAGACAAAUUUGCUUUGCUCAAAACCAAUCCUGCACUUUAUUUUUCCACCCCUAUAUAUUUUCAGCAAAGCAAAUACAAAACAUAUUGUACAUUCUGAACAUCAACAAUCCUGCAAUGUGUGUAAAAUCAGAAAUAGAAUUACUCCCACUUUCAAUUUUGUUGUGCCCACAAGGUUUUUAAAUUUCAGACUAUUGCACCAUUGGUGAGAGCAUAUGGGACAGACCAGGUGAAAUGCAGUGACCUGGCAAACAGUCUAAAAGACUGAUGAGAGUCGGGUACACGUCAGAAGGCACUAGGAGUGCUGGCACAAACAGUACCCAGAAUGUGGAUCAGACAGACACCCAGCACUCGUUAGCUUAUUACUCUCUUAUUAGGAACAUUUUUGCCUUGCAUGGAUUGGCAGAGUCCCGCUAGCCACCCUCUUCACAUGGCCCAGGCUCUGUCAGAGCUGAUCAAAAGACAUUUCUUCACAUCUCCAGACGCCAGGGAAAAAAGGAGAAGAAAAGAGGGAGAGAAGAAAAGAGCCAGAAGGGGGCAUACUGCUCUCUCUUUACUCUGGUCUUUUGGUGAAUGAGGACUUUUCACAAUGCCCUCUCCUUUUUCUUUAUUUUUUCAUUCUUCCAUUGGCAAAAAAAAAAAAAGAAAGAAAAAAAAGAAAAAACAGUAUUUCCCAUCACGUUUCACCAAAUUGUUUUUGCCAUAUCAAAAACAAUUGUCCUCAGGUGAAGAAUGCGCCUGUAGAAUUACAACCAUUCCAGGGGGAGAAAGAGGUCUUCACAAAUCUGACUGGCUUCCAGGCAGCCAAGACCCCCUCGAAGUGGUAAUGAAAAGUGUAACUUUAGCCUCCCAGCUGUAUGUCUCAAUCCAUAAUCCUUCCCCAAAAACUCACCGUAGAGCCGCCUACCACUCCCAUGGCGUUCCCAGCCUGUGCCGGGCUGGGCCUGCACUGAUUUAUGUGGCAGUCCCGUGUCAUACUCUCAACCUGAAAAGGAUUUGCUCUCUUAUAUUUACCAGGGUGGUCAGGGCAGCUCUCUGGAAACACAGAAAGCCCAGUCUCCGGGCCUCACUCCCAGACAGUCUUUUUACCACUCUGUGCCAAUAACGUGGACAUUUUGGACCUUACCAGAAUCAGACGAGGCUCCAGUGAUUCCAUAGUGGUGUGAUUCAGCAGUGCAGAGGUCAGAGUCCAUGCACCCACGCCCACACAGCCGCAUGGCCACAUUUUGGUAUGCAGAUACACAGACACAGGAUCCAGUUAAGAUUUCCACAUCCAUCACUUUGUGAACAUGAGACAAGCAAGAUGACCAGCAAAAUAUUGCAGAAUUUGACAUGAAAGACUCAUCUCUGCAUCCCCUCUACAUGUGACGGUAAGAGAAGUACCUACAAAAGUAUGACAGAGGCAAUGUAGGAAUUAGCUGUUGCUGGGAAAAGCUUUACAUUCAACAGAUACUAAGAGAUGAUGAAUAAUUUAAUCUUAAUGAUUAUCUUAAUGGCAGAUGGAUAUAUGUGCAGUAUUUAUUUAACCAUUUGAGCGAGCUGAAGAAAGCUCAUUUCCUGCUUUACAUCUUAAUGGAUUCUUUAUUUAAAGACAAGGUCAUUUAAUUCAUUAGUAUGGUGAAUAGUUAUUUUUACAUGUCUAAUUUUACAGCGUACAGUAUGUCUAUGGAGUUAAUUGUGCCUAAUUGUGUGUGUCCUGGAAUGUGUGCGCUCAUCAUAGUUGUCUUUUUGUCUGUGCCUCCAUGUGCCCAUGUGCCAAUGCAAGUGUGUGCCCAUAUGUGGGUGUAUGAGUGCUCCACUGUUACUCUGUGCCUGUGUGUGCCCAUGUGUGUUGUAUUCAGCCUAUUAGUGGAGUUUAACCCCUGUGUUCAGGGAGUCACAUCCCCUCAACACACCAGUCUCCAUUCUUACUGCAGCCCGUUAACAUUUUACUCUCUUCCCUCCCCACCCACCCCCUUCACUUUUGUCCUAAGAGGGCAAUUAAGGAAACAAACGUUUUCCCCAAGAUAAGCUGGCUGCCAGCUUUGCAUACUAAUGCAAUGCCAAGUGGUUACAAAUAGUGAGUGCUCUAAUUACCGGCACUGUUUUCAAUCAGAAAUUGCUCAAUUUCCCAGGAUGAGGUCUCCAUGGCUGGAGAAAAAAAGCACAACCUGACAGAGGCAAGAGACAAUCAUCUCUAUGUGGAUUGUGGCUGAUUUUGUCUGCAUAUGUGUGUGUGCUCAUGUACCCACAUGUGUGCACUCGUGUUGGUGCAAAUAACCUCAUCUGCCUGUGUGUGUAUAGACCCCGGCACAACCCUCUCUAUCACUGCUGCCCUUGACAAGUCAAGAAAUGGAUCCUGUCAGCCUCUACAGCAUUUAGCACCACAAUUAUCCCCUUUUCACAGCCUGGCUGCAUUCAUGUAAACCACACCAGGCAGUAGUUGCCACUCAGUGAUGAGCACGAUGUGGUGCACAAUCUCUGGGUGAGCAAUUUGAUGCAAUUGUGUUGCUGUGUGAUCAUCUGUGCAAAUCAGGGCCUGCUCAUUUAUUAAGCAAUUUCUGUUGGAGAAAAUUAGAAGGAAGGCUCUUUUAAUUUGGCAGGAAAUCGUAAUAUCGCUAAAAGCAACAAUAAUGCAUAAUGUGGCUGACAUCAAACAAAAAAAGGGAUAUUUGAGUGAGUUUUGUCCACAUCAAUCCAUCAGGGAGGGGUAUACUAUUCUGAGAGAAGCGGCCAUCGUCAUGUGGCCACCAGGAGUAGGGGGCAGCACAGACCAAAGUGACAAGGACUCACUCCCUGGGUGUGAGAAUGAGUCACUCCAUAGGAUGCGCACACAGGACCCAUCCGUUGGCCUUAGCUGACCUUUAGCUCUGACAGUGGCUAAUGGAGGGCUGGCCCUCGAUCAAUGCACUGAGAGACUGGGCUCCCCAUCCCUGCCCUUUCACCAGGCCAGGAAGGGAGGGACACUGCCAGAAGCCACGCCGCGGAGCCAUCGACCCUGCCACUUUCCCAUCCUGUGGGUGACAGCUGCAGUGCCAAUGAGCCUGGGGACGCCACGCUGCCCUGCCACGCAGGAAGGACAGCCAGCAACUCUAUCUCUGUGUUGGUGGGAGGGAAAGUCACUGAUGAUCUGCCUGUGAAUGUCAGAUCCAUGUAAACAACCCAAGCAAACACUUUGGUGUGGAGUAGAUGUUGAUAUGACAGCCUGCACCAGUGUUGAAAACCUGCAUAGCAAAUCAUCCUGAGCAGCUAGGUGUAUUAUUUUGUGCUUUGUGAAAUUUGUUUAAUCUCAAAACAUUUUCUAAAGCUGUGUCAACAUGGGUUUUUGUCAUUGCCAUUAUACUGAGGUUAAUAAUGCUGUGCUUAUUUAGGUCGGUGUUGCACCUACUUGACAUGCAAACAUGAGGAAAGUUGUCAUCCAUCAAAUGCAUGCUUGAACAGACUUCUUUGUAAGGCCUGAUUCCACUUAAUUGCUUUAAUUUAAGUUGAAUGGAGUUGGAGCAAAAGCUGAGAACUUCUUUAACCUUUUGUCAGUAAAAAGUUGAAGUCACAUCAUUAAAGCCUGACUCCUCCAUAACGCUUGUCAAAUGUUAGAAGUUGUGUUUGCAUUUGAGUAUUCUUGGCAUUCAUCAUGCAGUUAAAAUUUUACCGUAGGGAGUAUAUUUUCUUAAGCAGCACCAUGUUGCUAAGAUGUGCCUGAUGUUGUGCUUGGUGGCGUAACCCAGAUGGUGUACCAUGGUAUACCUUUAAUCAGAGCAGUCAUUUGUCAAAAGGCAAUGCUUGUAUAAAAACACAAAACAAUACUUAGUGUGCAUUUUAAUUGUAU